AGUGAACGCUGGCGGUAGGCCUAACACAUGCAAGUCGAACGGCAGCACAGUAAGAGCUUGCUCGUAUGGGUGGCGAGUGGCGGACGGGUGGGGAAUACAUCGGAAUCUACUUUUUCGUGGGGGAUAACGGAGGGAAACUUACGCUAAUACCGCAUACUACCUACGGGUGAAAGCAGGGGAUCUUCGGACCUUGCGCGAUUGAAUGAGCCGAUGUCGGAUUAGCUAGUUUGGGGGGUAAAGGCCCACCAAGGCGACGAUCCGUAGCUGGUCUGAGAGGAUGAGCAGCCACACUGUAGCUGUGAGACGCUCCCGACUCCUACGCGAGGCAGCGGUGGGGAGUAUUGGACACUGGGCGCAAGCCUGUUCCAGCCCUACCGCGUGGGUGAAGAAGGCCUUCGGGUUGUAAAGCCCUUUUGUUGGGAAAGAAAAGCAGCAGGUUAAUACCCCGCUGUUCUGCCGGUACCCAAAGAAUAAGCCCCGGCUACCUUCGU
rnacentral:rRNA from 1 species